rnacentral:lncRNA from 1 species
GGAGAACAGCCCCUGUUCCUCUUCCCUAGCCAGGUUCUCACACGUCCCUGAGGAACUAGAGAGGAACGCCUCUGGGAAGCCCAGCCAGAGCCAACCGGAAGGGCCUUUUGGUGAAGUCUGACAUCCUACAUUAGUUUCUCUGGACCUGGCAGAGCUCCCUGGAUAAAUCAUGAACAGAAGCAUCUAUGACCGACAGUUGCUCUGUGUCCUUCUAGCCUCGCAGGAGUUUCCAGCUCAUGAGGGCAGAGGAGAUGAAGAGAGGCCGAUCGACGUGAGGGUUGUGCAGGCGGCCCCUCUGAGGUGUGACUCCAGUAAGUACUCUGGAAUUACUUGCUGAGAAAGAAAAGUCUGGAUGCCAAGAAAGGUGUGACAUCCUUGCUGGCUUCAAUGUGAAGAGCCACCCUGAUUCUGGGAUUCUGAUAGGAAUAAGGUAGAUGAUGCAUAUCUGAACCUGGAAACCGCUUCCCACUGUAGAGCGUGUCUGAGUCAUGUCCCUUAGCUUCAGCAGAGCAGAUCCAGCAGGCUCUGAGCUUGGCCUCUUUGCCUGGAGCGAGACCUCUAGGUAAUGUCUCCAGAGAGGGUGGCACAAAGGAUCCUGGAUCUCCUGAUCACAGCAGCCCAAGAGUGCCGUGCGUGCACCAUGGCUCAAGAAGAAGACUUAAAAAGGGGAAACUCCUCCUGAGGGUGCUGUAGGAGACAUCUGCAAAAAAGAAGAUGCUGGCAAUAUGCCAUCAACCUCAGAGGGGAGUAUUUACCCUGAAAUGGCUCACUUCCUGAGGAACAAACUUGCUGGAUCUAGUGUACGGAAACCUGAUUCUGGGUUCCUUUGGGAAGGAGCAUUACGGGCCUGCUCCUGGACCACCUCAUAUCACCAGCACCCUCUACCCAAGGUCCUGGAGCCAACACUGGAGUAAAA